GAUGUCAUGGUUAUGCUUGAUAUGGCUUUAUGGAAUGGGACUGUAAAUGAAGUCCUUUCCAGCUCUAUUUUUCUACGAUUUUAUGUCAAUUUGACUGUUGUUGUGUAAAGCUUCCUCUGUCAUGUGAUCCAGAGCAUUUCAUCCGCUAAGCAUUUUACUUAGAAAGUUUUCUUCCUACAUAUAUUACAACCUAUUUUUCUUUUCUUUUUCUUUUUUUUUUUUUUUUUAAAAUAACAAUGAUAAUCCACAGGAUGAAGGUAGCACCUUUUACUCCUCACAAAGCUAAAUUCACCAUUGGCCUUGUUCAUAAACCUUGUUCAUAAAGGAGUAGACAGAUGCACAGGAAUGUUAUGGAAUUGCUGAGUGUUCAUAAAAUGCUGUGUUCAUAAAGUAGGCUGGUAGCAAAAAUGGGCACAUAACCCAGGAAAUAUGUCUCCCAGGCCUUUCCCUAGCUGCCAGACCACAUUAUUUAUCCAACAAAUUAUGCUGAUGAAGACGGAGUACCCAAUUUGCAGCUCUGACACAGAUUCUUUUUCUCUUGUCACAUGGAGAAAUCAUAAUCCUCUGAAUGCAGAAGAAGUCCUGGCUGGUGGAGAUUCAAGCAAGAUUAAUGAGCAAAGACUACCACUAGUCUGGGAGAUCACACCUGGAUUGAUGAUUUGAAAUAUACAUCGUGAAACUUCAAAGUUCACUGAAGAGAAAAGGUAUAAGAUAAUUUUUAUUGUAUUGAUGUUUUAAUAAUUAUUACUCUCAAACACCCACUCAACUUGUCUGUCUCCUGUCAUAUAGAUAAAAAUAAAGAGAAACCAGUCUGGUCUCUUUUGACACACAGGACCAUAAUAGGCUGGGGAGAACAAUACCAGGGCAAGAUGGGGCUGGUCUGAGGAUCUUUAGAGUCAUCCCACUCUGUCUAGUCCCUGGCUAGAAAAUGGAAACGUAUUUGGGAGCAGACAAGACCUCAAAUUAGUUUAUUGAAUAAGAAAACUGCUUAUUUUUUGCUGCAUAAUCUUGAGAUUGUGAACCUACAUUUCUCAUGGUGUCCUGUUGAAAGAAAAUGAAAGAAUAACCCAAAUCAGAGACAGUGUUCAGCAAGAAAUCAUCCAGUUUUGGCUGGACAAAAAAGGAUAUCCACCUCUGAAUUUAUUCCACAGUGUGAGCAGAGUAGCAAAAAGCUUGCCUGAGAAGCACCAGCCUGCUGGAUCAACAAGGGGAAUGAAAGUGUUUUCCCCUUUCUGAUGGCGGUACUGAAGAAUGGAUGCAAGCUUCCUGUUUGUGUUUUCUUGGCUUGGUUUUGGUGUAGCACUCAACUGAUGUGUGUGAAACCUUGGCAGGUAACGAACUACACACUGAAACAGACAGAAACCAAACUUGCAAUGAUCCUCACGUGUGAGUUGGACGCGGGAGCUGUGGGAAGAAGUGGGUGCUGGGCGUAGUCACAGGCUGGGGAGCAGGAGAGACAGUAAGGAAAAUAAACCGUGUCUCAAAAUAAUGUAUCAAAAUCCUAGCGAUAUAUCAAUUCCCCUAGACACUUCAGUGCUUUUUCUAAAAACUGCCUUGAACCUCGCAGACUAGUUCUUUCUGAUAUAUGUUUAAUAUUUUACAUCAGUUUACUACUAUCUCUACCUGUUUGUUUUGGGUUUUUUUGGUUCUGUUUUGGUUUUUUUUUUAAUCAUCUCUUUUUUCCCCCUAGGUGGUUCACUUCCUUUCCCCAGAAACAAACACACUGUUAUCUGAAAAUACCGUUCAUUACAGGAAAUCUGCUUUUCUGCCCUGUUUCUGUGCUUCCAGUAAGCUUCAGCAUCCAGAUCUGGUGUUACAGCUCAGGGACGAAGUCCUUCAUUGUCCAGUUCUGCAAGGAAAUAGUUAUGCAUGAACUUUACAAUUAGUGUCCAGAAUUUACCAGAAAAAAAAAAAAAAAAGACUCACACCAAAACACAGCAAACAACCAUCAAAACAAAACGAACAACCCCACAGAAUUGUGCAAUAAAAUUUUUCAUAAUAAACUUUGCAGAAGCUGUUUAAA